CAGUCUAGGAGCAGCAUUAUGAGAGUUAACACCACUCAGAUUACGAGUCUCAGGACCUCUAAGGCAAACUGUAAAUAAAACAAUCCUUUCCUUCAGCACACAUUCCAGAAUACAUUCAUAUUCUGUUGGUAUGUAUUGCGCAUGCUUCAGCAUCAUCCAUUGUCUUCAGCAGACAAAUACAAACAUUUAAGCCUCGUGUAAAUAUUGUACUAUGUCAGUUCAUGAUCUUAAAACAUUUGCCGUC